UACGGAGGGUGCAAGCGUUAAUCGGAAUUACUGGGCGUAAAGCGCACGCAGGUGGCUGAGUCAGUCGAUUGUGAAAGCCCUGGGCUUAACCUGGGAAUUGCAGUCGAUACUACUCAGCUAGAGUAUGGGAGAGGGCAGUGGAAUUCCCGGUGUAGCGGUGAAAUGCGUAGAUAUCGGGAGGAACAUCAGUGGCGAAGGCGGCUGCCUGGCACAAUACUGACACUCAGGUGCGACAGCGUGGGGAGCAAACAGG
rnacentral:rRNA from 1 species